UUUAAAUUAAAAAAAACUAACAUUGGAAAAACAAGAAGUUCAUGUAAAAAACAAAACCGACAAAUAAUAUUAUAAAUAAAAUAAAUUUAUAAAACACAAUUCGCGCGAAACACAGAAAAAAUCUCUAGUACAUGUAACAAGAAGUCGCAUGGAAACACAGUUUACGAUAAAUUGACAAAAGAAAAUUAUUACUAAAUAAUGAGUGUCGGCGUCAAUAAACGCGUUGAUUAAUGUGAACAUUAGUUAAUUUUCUUGGCUGCCACUGAAGCAUACUUAUGUUGAACGUAAACUGGUUUAUGUUGAUUCGAAUCAGACGGAUGAAAGGAAAAUGGUUAAAAGAUACUCCUUCUGUUUUUUAAUAUUAUAUAUUAUAAUUUUUUCACAUAUUUUAAUAAAACACAUUAAAUUUACAUAAUUUUUUAUGUUUAUCUUUGUUCCAUAAUUUUAAACCAAUAAAAAUUUAGUAAAUAUAAUUAAGUUUUUGAAAUUUACAAUUAGUUAAUAAAAAAUGUUUUGAAAAUGUAAAAAAUAGAUCUUUUUAUAACAAAUUUUUUUUCUAGAAUAUAUAAUAUUAAGAAACAGAGGGAAAUGAUUUACACCAAUUGUUAUAAAUUUAAACGAAACGGAUGGCAAUCAUUUCUAGAAAACAGAGAGUUUAUAACCAUUUAUUAUAAACUGCUGGUUAAAGUCGCAAAAGUCUGCUCAACAACCAGAAAGUGUUAUAAAAAGGUGGAUUAAUUUGAUGGAAAAGUAACAAAACCAUUAUGAUUACUCUUGUAACAAAGGACAGUGGUGACGCACUAACGAGAAGUGAAAGAUGCUAAUGACAUACUAAAAUAAUGUACAUUUCAUAGUUUAAAGAACAUACGCUUUACGGAAAAAUCGAUCAAUUCACACAUCGAUAGACAAUUGCAGUUUCGAUCGGUACAUAAAUACGGAUCCGGUACUAAAACAUAUAUCAACACAUAAUAUAUACAAAUUUCAUAUACAAACAAAGAUAAUUAAGUUUAUACAUACAUUGACCGUAUGUAGAUUAAAUAUAUUUUACAUUUUAAAUAAUUAAUCUCACUAUAAAAACAGCUAAACUGGAGUUUUUUUAGAGGUGCCAUAUAGGAAAAAAAAUUGAAAACCAAUCUGCCAUGUUAUCUCGGACUGGGCUUGAAAGACCAACUUUCGCAAUCCAUUAUUACUAAAUUUCAGAGUCCAUUUACACCAUUUUCAGCAUUCCAUUUUAACAGCCCAUUAUUAUUCAGAUACUAAAGGCACUAACCCAUUAUUACUCAUAUACUAAAAGCCCUAAAACAUAAUCCCUAGUUAAUUAAUACUAAAAGCUCUUAAACAUAUAAUUCUUUAAAAACUAAAGAUCACUCAUCCUCACCCUAACCCUAAUCACCGACUCCAUCUCAUCGUGAUUCUCUUCAUCUUCAACUUAAAUAUUAUCAUUUUUGAAUGAAAACAUUAUUAUUAUUGAAAUAUUAAUUAUUUAUCCUAAACUCUAAUAAACAAAAUAUACAAGUUGUUAAUGCACUCUAUUGUUUGCAAAAAAGCUUUUCAUAUUAUUUCCCUUUUUCAUUUAAUGCACAAAUACAAAUGUAGAUUUUUCUUUUAUCUAGAAGAUGUUUUUUAAUUUAACAUACAAAUUAUAAACCGUUUGACCAUCUUUAUCAUAAAUUUGGUUAUAUAUAUAUAUAUAUAUAUUUAGUUUUAAUAUAUUAUUCAUUAUUUACAUCUUAUUAGUUUUAAACCAUACAAAAACAUAUAUUAAUUGCAUAUUUUAAAACUUACUUUAUAUUUUAAAACGAUUAAAGUCACAAUGACCAAUUAUUUUCCAGCACCACCAAAAACUCGAAAAAUCCUAUACAACCGAAAUUUUAUUUCCAUAUAUUAUUAAAUUUUAUUUGUUUAUAAUAUGUUAUAAAAACAAACCAAAAACAAAAUUGUGAUAAAGAAGGAAAGUUUUGAUAGAAUGACCAAAAUGUUUCAUUUAAUAGGUAAAAUGAUCCUUAUACCCUAGAUAUAUAAAAUUUAAUUAAAAAUAUUAAAAAAUAAAAUAAAAAAAUAAUUAAGUAAUAGUCUUAGAUUAUACGUUUUCAAAAUAUAAUUUUUUUUAAUAAUUUUUUUACUUGAUUUUUAAAUUGCAAUUUUUCUCUAUUUUUGUUUUCAAUUUAUCUUUUUUGUAAUUCUAGCCGAAGUUCACAACAAGUGGAGCGACAACCUCGGACAUCAACCAAUUAUCGCUAGGAUCAUUAGGAUGUGUCCCAUCACAAAUCACACAAAUAAAAAUGCUUUCCUAAGAACAACUUUCAUUUAUCUAGACAUAUAGGUUUGUCUAAAAAAUACUUACUUUUAAUUAUUCCAACAACAUUUCAAAUAAUUGCUUUUAACCACUCAACAAGAACAAAAAAUGGAAGGGCGGGUGCCUAUUUCUACGUCUGACACAAUGUACCAACGGUUCGAGGAAGGGAAAAUUUAUCACAUUAGAUAUUUUAAUCUUCUUCCCAAUAACCGACGGUACAUGCUUACCGUUCAACCAUACAUAAUCAAUAUCAAUGAGACAACAAUUAUAACACUGAUUCAAGAAAACAUUUCACCAGAUCCUUCAUACAUUUUCCGGCCCCAACGCUAUCCCCAGUUGUUCAGCUUAGCAAGUGCAACCAACUUCCUUCCAGGUCAAAAAAAACCCAUACCUAUCACACAUACAAAUAAAUUCUCUAUUUUUUAACAAAUUAUUCCCACAGAUGUUGUUGGCCGCAUAUGCCUCUUCCAAGGAAGUGAUUUAUAUAACCACAACACAGAUACAAAAAUCAUUUUUGGAUUGCGUUAAGCAAUAAAUAUAUAAUACAAUAUUUUUUUGUAGAUCCAAAUUGGUCCGUCUAACUAUAUGGGACAAUGAGACGGCCAAUUUCAGAGAGUUAAAUCACAUAUCUACCAGGAAAAACUAAAUCGUAAUCAUCAUAAUUAUCAUUCCAAGGUUACAUGAAGGUAAUCAACUAAACAUAAGGUUUAUGUCUAACUAAAUGCUUACAAAUAUUUCACUUUUCAGGGAAACUAUCACUCACAACCACACCAGGAUCGCGCUUUUACUUUGACAACGACAUAGAUAUCAUACAACGCUUUCAAAAGAGGAAUAAACUGCUAUCCUAAGCCUGAUGGCAUACCUCCACAUGGGAUCAAACCACAAGACGGAAACCGACACGAGUAAACUGUUUUAAAAUUUAAAUUUCAAUGCAAACAACUAUAUAUUUUUCAAACUUACUAUUGUUUAGAAAACAGAAACUGAUCACCGCAUCUCAUUCAAACAAAAACUCUAUGGUUAAUUCUACAACGAACCUAGGUUCAAUAUCUGAUACUUAAAACUACAAAAAUAUAAAAAUUUACUUUAAUAAAACAUAUUAUCCCCGCGGACCCCGGCUCUAGUAAAAAAUAAUAAAAUUAAUUUUUAAUCUGUCCAUAGGAAUCAAACCUAGGUUCAAACAAAAUUAAACCAUAUGCUCAACCACUGUACCAAAUCAGAUUAUUGGUUUUGUUAUCUUUGUGUCAUAUUUAUAUCUAAUAUGUUUUAUUCAUAUAUUUCUAAUGAUCUAGAAUUAGUUCCACGAAUAUAUAAAUUCUAAGUAAUUAUGAUUAAUUAACUUAAUUAUUCUUAUUCUGUUUUUUUUUAAAUCAGAAUUUCAGAAUAAAAAUUUUAAAAAUCAAAAAGCAUUCAAAAUUUAAGAAGAAAAUAUGAAAAAUACAAUUUUUAAAAAUUGAUUUUUUUCUAAAAUUGUAUAGUAUUAAAGUAGAAUCUCUACUAGAAUUAUGUCCUUACCUUUUGAAAUUAUUUACAGUGUUAUGUCACUCUUUUAUUUAGACUUUUAAAAUUUAUUUUGCCACCUAUUACUCAUCCAGUCAGUUUAUCCCAUUUUAAACCAUUUAGAAAUCUCAACAAAACUAAAGGCCCAUCUAGACCACUCGAUUUUCUUGCUCAAUAGCUCAUUUUUAAUUGGUUCUGUUAGUUUCCUAUCGUAAGUGAUUUCCUUUUUUUAUUUUUGGCAAAAUGAUGUCUAUAUAUAAAGGGCUUAUUUGUGAUAUAACCAAAAAAAAAAGUAAAAUUAAUUUUGUAGAAAGAGGUAGAGAGAGAUAGGAAGAGAGAAGAGGAGAGAGGAUGUGAUUUUGGUUAUAUAAUGAAUUAUGGGUUUUUGUUUGGUUAUAUCACCUAAUUUCCCAUAUAAAAUUCAAAAACAACCAAUUUUUACUCACUAAACAAAUAUGUAUUCUAAUCCCCAAACCACAAAAUACAUACCCUAAUCCAUUUGUAUAACAUUAUGCUACUUUUUGAUGUACAUCAUCACAACUCUGUUUCUAACAAAGAUAAACCUGAAAUUUUUUUUUAAUAAAAAAGUAAUGUUUAAUAUUUGUGUUGACUAUAAUUUUCCUAGAUAACUUAAGCAACUAAUUAUACCAUUUUAAUUGUAAACUAAAUGGUCUUGACGGCCCAAUGGUCUUGAGGGAGCUUUCGGCCCAAUAAAGAUCCGAGUUCGAAUUCUCCUAGUCAUCGUCGAUUAAAAUGAGGUAAAAAGGCAGCCCUCCAGAAUAUGUUCUGCGGAGGUGUACUUAGACGCUAGUCGAGUUUUCUCUGGGGUGUCGAGAUUACAUGGAUUAUCAAAAAAAAAAAAAAACUAAAUGGUUAAAAUAUUUCUGUUAAUUAGUAUAUUCUCCUAUAUAUUGAAUGAGAAGUCAAUUAAGUGAUUUUUUGCUUAUGUGUCAAUCAUAGAGAGAAUUUAAGAAAAAAUGUUAUAACUUGAUUGGUUGAAAGAGUUUCAAUUAUUUUAAUUUGAUUUAAAAUAUAAGGUAAGUCUAGAACUAAUUAGUGUCACUUACCAAAUAAUCUAAAUGAUAUUACAAAUAAUAAUUUAUAGUAACUAAUUUUCAAAAUUAUAAAAAGUGUAAUAAUGCUUGAUUAAUUUCUAUUGUAUCUAUAUACAACAUAAAAUAAUUAAUAGAACACAAUUUAUCGAAAUCGAUAUAACGAUUUAAUAUUUUUUAAUAUAAAACAUUAUAUUCACAUAGUAUUAUAAUAAGCAUUAAUUAAUGUAUUACAAUGUCCAUAUGUGUCUUAUAAGUCUUUUAUUAAAAAUAUUAUAAAAUUAUUUAUCAGGGCUUACAAAAUUAUUUUAUCAUAAUUUUAAAUUAUUUAUAAGAAUUUAUAAAACAUUUAUGAAAAAUAUAAAUACGCAUAUAUAUUUAAAAAAGUCACUUAAGUGACUUUGGCUUACAUGUCGAUCAUUUGUGAAGUCUUAAGAAAAUUGUAAUAAUUUUUUUGGUCGAUAAUUUUUAAUUUUAUUUAUUUUAGUUUAGAUUGGACGGUUAAUUAAUAGAACACAAUUUAUAGAAAUCGAUAUAAUGAUUUCAUAUUCAUAUAAAAAUUAUAAUCAUAUAUUUUAAUAUUAUUAAUCUCUUAUAUCGUCCAUAUAUGCUUUAUAAAUAAUUAGGUUUCAAAGAUUGGCCGAAUUAUAUUGAACGAAACAUGUGAGAACUUUGAUUAAAAAUUAUUUUUCAUUUAAAUAAAUUAAAAAGUGAAUAAGGUAAUGCUAUGAUUGAAAAGAAUUAUAAGAUGGAGUUUUAGUUUAUUGAUUGUAUAAUAUGUAUUUCUAUUUAGAGAGAAAAAUAAAUAUUUGACAAAAAAAUAAGUAAAAAUUUAGGAAAACAUUAGCAAAAAUUAAUUAAAAAAAAUAGGCUGAAGAAUAUGUAUAAUAUAUGUAGGAGAAGUAAAUAUUGUAUUUAAAUAUAUAAUUUCAUAAACAUUUGUUAUUACUAAAUAUUUAUCAGUUGUUUUUACAUCAAAUUUAUGGAAAAUUUUCGAAAUUUUAUAUAUAAUAUAUAUUUAUAUAAUAUUUAUAUCUACGAAUUCGCGGACAACCAUCUAGUAUAUAUAUAAAGUACAAAGUAUGAAAAUUGAUAAUCUUAUAUAAUAAAACAGGGUUUUCUCUCACCUCCUUGCGCCACGUCAGUACAGUGGGAGGGGCAAAUCCCGACACGUGUUGCCAUACCAAAGCCUCUGCGAUUUGUUUACUUCAGCUGUUCUGUAAUUGAGUGUUUGAGAGCUGGGCUUUUAUUAAAAUGAAUAGGUUAGGCCCGUACCUUUAGCCCAUUUAGAGACUCAAUUGAUAUUAAGGUUCGUCGUCGUCUUCCUCUUUCACAUGCGACCUCCGCGUUGAUCCGAAAUCUGUAACGUCUCCCCGAGGCAGGAUGACUUUUUGGUUAUCUUGAUAAAGUAUCUGAAUACAAUAAGCUCCAUGUAACCAGGUCUGAUCCUUGAUCAAAACUCCUGAUUGUUAUUAUAUUAAUUCCAUUAUCAACUUUCGUUCCUAUCAUGAAACCAACGAAAAGGUUUCAAUCGCAAUCAUCGCCACCAUGACUGUGCUAUCAUCUACAGAUCGAGAUAACGCUGAGAAGAAGGUGAAGAGUUCGUAUUUUGAUUUGCCGGCUAUGAACGUAUUCGUUGCAUUUCCUCAAGCAACUCCAGCCUCUAAGUUCCCAACGUGCAUGAACUAUUGACUCCAGAGGAGCAGGCUGUGCGGAAGAGUGAGGGAGUUCAUGGAGAAAGAAGUUGCCCCCAUUAUGACAGAGGUUUGUCUAUCUUUGUGUUUGUUUGUUUGUUUACUUUGAUAUUAUCAUUGCGUGACAUCAUCCUUCUUUCUUUGAUUUUUACUCAUCAAUACUGGGAGAAGGCAGAGUUUCCGUUCCAUAUCAUUCCAAAGCUUGGAGCUUUAGGUGUUGUUGGUGGCUCUAUUAAGGGUUAUGGCUGUCCUGGCCACAUCACAGCCAAUGCCAUUGCAACAGCAGAGAUAUCUAGAGUUGAUGCAAGCUGUGGGACUUUUAAUUUGGUCCUUAGCUUGGAGAAGGUUCCAUCUCAAGACAUAGACUGAUAUUCAAUUAAUGAUCCCACAUCAAUCAGCUAAAGACCUGCAUGUAUAUCUUCAUUAUCUCAUUUGUUAUUAUAACAGAUUGUGGAGUUCCUUGGCACUGGAGAAGUUGUUAGAAUUAAAACUACUAAUGGGUGGUGCCUGCCCGUGGAUUCUCUUCCUUCACAUGUUCAUUGUGCCAUAACGCCAGCGCAGUUGGGGGAUCUCAGUUUAUCAAACUUUAGGUUCUAAACUCAUCACUACCAAACAAUAUCAACACUGUUAUGCAGGUACCUAAGGAUGUCUGCACCGUCAAGAAGCCUCACAAUGGUUAGCUUCGCAUCAUUGGGAGUGUCCAAGCCUAAUGCCCAUUCAUGCUCCUUUUGUUUCUAAUUUUCUUCUAAGUUUGAAUAACAUGUUUAGCAAGUCCCUUCCUCUCUGAAUUUUUUUGUGUGGUCAACUUUUCGGAAUAUUUUCUAUGUUUAAUCUUCUCAAAAAUUUCAUUUUGCUUUGCUUGGUCACUUAAAAGUCUAUUGGGCCCAAUCUUAAUUUAUAAAAAAAACAUAAUUAUGAAAUCUCAGUUUAUCUUUCAUUUUAGGCCAAAAAACCAUGCUGCAUUGUUAUUUUUCAAAUGACAAACAGAUGCUGAGUUUGCAAACGAACUUGAGGAAAGGAUGGGCCCCAGUAAGAUCAUAAGAACGAAAACCUGACUUAAAUUUCUUACCGAUUAAACAAAAAUAAGUUUUUUUUAUAAACCUAACAAAAAUAAGUUAAAUUAGUGGAAGCUUCAUUAUAUGAUUCAAUUGGUUUAAAAAAUAAGCAUCCUAAGAAAACUUUAAAAUAAAUAAUACAAAUAUCGUUUCUUAAUUAAAAAAUAAGAAUCCUGAUCAAAUUAUAAAUAAUAGUUAUAUUAUUAAUAAAAUGAAACGUCAAUAUUAAAAAUAACACCCGAAGACAAUAACAUAACUGAUGAUCUUGAAGUUACUCUUACGAUCACA